rnacentral:rRNA from 1 species
CACCGGCGGCUCGAGUGGUGGCCCCUUUCAUUGGGUCUAAAGCGUCCGUAGCCGGCUUGGCAAGUCCCCUGGGAAAUCUGGCGGCUUAACCGUCAGGCGUCCAGAGGAUACUGCCAGGCUUGGGACCGGGAGAGGUGAGAGGUACCUCAGGGGUAGGGGUGAAAUCUUGUGAUCCCUGAGGGACCACCAGUGGCGAAGGCGUCUCACUAGAACGGGUCCGACGGUCAGGGACGAAAGCUGGGGGCACGAACCGG